AGAUUUUUCCUGUCAGCUGCUCUGUAGGAUCCUUCUCUACCAGAAGCUCAUAACAAUCUACUAAGGGAAGUUUAGUUAAUAAAAAUCUUGUAAUUGAAUUGUGCUGAAAUGAAUAUUGACAUUAGGGAUGCCUGAUUUAGCAGUGAACUGAGAUCUUGGGACCUGCAUUUACAAUUGUGCUGUUAACAUUGAGGCUUUUUUCCUGCCCGUGUCUCGUCUCACAAGCGCAUGUGCUGGGUGCUUGGCUGUAUAAAAAGGAUGUGCUAUUCCCAGGAGUAAUUAAAGGCAUGUGCUACUGUUGACAGGAUCUAAGCCCAGAGUGGUAAACACAGCAGCUGAGAUCUGGCAAGAGCCAGGGCUUUGAAUGGAGAAUUAAACUUGAUCAAACCGAAAUGAGUUAAAGCUUCAAAGACAAUAUCAUAAACUCGUAUUCCCCAAAAGUCAGUGCUUAGCCUGGAUAAUUUGGAAACAUCUGAUCUGCAGAGGAAGCAAAGAGCCAUUACAUCAAGAGACACAGCAAUCCCAGUUGUCUGGUCUGCAAAUCAAACCAGGGUCGUCUGGUCUGGAUGUCUGACGAGAGCAGCUCAGAUUUCAAGUGAUCACCGCAGAUGCUGCAGAGGGAAGACUGAUGGGUUUAGGCAAAGGAUUGUAACAACAGUGAGGAAGGAGUUCUGAUCUGGGGCUGGAGUGUUUUUGUGUACUGAAAGCAGUAAUAGAGAGAACACAUUGGGGUGGAUCCUGAGCUGGGGAAAUGAUUUCAGCUUCACUGAACACACCACACAUCUGCUCUGAGACGAGGACAGCAGUUGCCACAUAACUUGCAGUAACGUUCUUCAUGUAAUGACAAAUUUGCUGGAGUGAUUUCCACAGAAAAGAAGCAAAUACAGAAACACAGGCAAGUCCACUGUUAUCACUAAAUUUAAAAAUUUAACAUAAGGCAUGCUUCCUGUGUUUCUCUGACUUCACUUAUUGUUAUAAAUGUUGAAAUAGCAUUUGUUUAAAAAUAAUUUUGUAGCAUGUGUUGUCAUUUUAGUUCUUUACUCUCUCACAAAUAACUUAUUUGGACAAUAGUGACAUACCAAAUUCCCUUCUGUAAUUAGUAAAGAGCAAGCAAGAAGCAGCAAUGAGA